rnacentral:lncRNA from 1 species
CCUCCAAUGUUUGAACAGCUCACAAAUGUGUGCAGAGUCAGAGUCUUAGCUGCUUGAAGGAUGGUUUUCUAUGUCUGCCACAAUCCAGACAGCAGAUGUUGCUGCUCGGGAUCUCCCCUCAGUAACUUUCUUCAGCUUGCUUUGAAAAGGAGAGAAGGCCUCCAGUGCAUCCCAAAGGCCUUUCUGACUUUGGGCAACAAGUGGGUUCACGGGAAACCUUUCUAGAAAGGUGCUGGGGGGUGGCUUUGGGGGGCCCCAAGAC